CACGUAGGGGCCAAGCGUUGUCCGGAUUUAUUGGGCGUAAAGAGCUCGUAGGCGGUUGGGUAAGUCGGGUGUGAAACCCUCAGGCUCAACCUGGGGACGCCACCCGAUACUGCUGUGGCUAGAGUCCAGUAGGGGAGUGUGGAAUUCCCGGUGUAGCGGUGAAAUGCGCAGAUAUCGGGAGGAACACCAAUUGCGAAGGCAGCUCGCUGGGACGUUACUGACGCUGAGACGCGAAAGCGUGGGGAGCAAACAGG
rnacentral:rRNA from 1 species